GCAAGAGUGAACUAGCUAACUGAAAUCAUUAUGAGUCAUUAAUUUGGUGAUUAUGAUAACAUAAGGGAAAAAAAUGAUAUUACCUUAUUAUUAGUGUUGUCCAAAACUGGUGCCAGAAGACUCGGUAAGACCAGAGACGCAAACGUUAGUCAUCUUAAUCAGGCGUAAAGGGUGUGUAGGCUGCUUUAAAAGUUUAAAUCUUUUUAAUAGCUCUUUUGCCGUUGUACUACCAUUAUUUAUUUUAUUUAUAAAUAAUAAACAAAAAUGAAUAUAAAGGUAGUACAUUUUAUAAUUUAAUUAAUUUAAUCAUUAUAAAGGGGACAAAAAAAAGAUAUCCCGGUUUAAGUAAAAAGAAUAAAAUGAAUUAAAGCUAGGAUCAAAUUGAGGAUAAACCAAAUAAUACUUAGAGUAGGGCCGAUAUCCGCAGAUACUAAGGGGAAUACUAAAGGUGAAAGCUUUUUAUCUACUAUUGAUUGACGCUGAGAAACGAAGGUGAGAAUAGGAAAUAGGAUUUGAUACCCAGAUACCUCUCACUGUCAACGAUGAAUGGUGGUUGUUAGUUUUAAUAAAAACUGGUAACGAUGUUAACACGAUAACCAUUCCGCCUUGCGAGUACGGUUGCAAAACUGAAACCAAAAAAAUUAGUCGGUUUCGAAGCAAACGAAGUGAAGCAU
rnacentral:rRNA from 1 species